rnacentral:tRNA from 1 species
AAGAAAGUUAGUCUUCCUAUGAAGAUGUAGGGUUGUCAACCCUGAGAGGUUACCUAUGUAACACUUUCUUU